AUGGACCCUUGUGCACGUAUACUAAAAAUGGAACGACACAGAGAAGAUUGGCAUGGCCCCUGAGCAAGGAUGACGCGCAAAUUUGGGAAGCGUUCCAUUUUUUG